CGAGGAAAACAGAUGAAGGUGCAGCUUAAACAAAAAGAAACACGGCUUAUUGCCAGUGUCUAACAACGGAAUGGGUCUUUUUCGAGACCAUCUGUAUUGUAUGGAUACACGUGAACUUAAAACAGACCCGCCUGUGGGCAGAGCUCUCUGUGUGUGUCAACUCUUUACAGGAGCGAUAGCAUUUAAGCCUCAACUUUGUGAGUUUUUGUUGCAAAAGAACUUGUGAUGAACCAUAACUGUUUACAUAUGCUAUGACAUAUCAUUGUGAGGGUUAAAACAAUUAAUAUGAAAGUGCCAGAAGUGCUAAGAAGUAAGGAAAUGGGAGAAGGCCAACACACUUUGCAUUAAUGAGGUACAAUUGGAAAAGAUGGAUUUAAAUAAUUUGAGAUCAAGAAGAAACAUGGCUGUAUGAACAGUAUAUGUGUCUUAUAUCUGUAUUGUACGUUUGUGUACUGGUUAAGUGAGUGAACUCUGGAAUCAAUGCACCUGAGUUUGAAUCUCAGCUCUGCUACUUGGUGUGCCCCUAUAUGAGUUACUUUUUCUCACUUUGAUCUUCUGUAAAAGGAGUAAUGCUAGUACCUCAUUUGGUGCUUGUAAGGAU